GUUCAGUUAGCCUGGCGCGUCUCGUUGAGUAGGAUGCGGUCUGUUGUUAAGGGUACCGGUUGGUGAAAAUAUUACGAUAAAAUUCCGAGUUUGCUUUUUCCUAAAUGCUUGAGUUACAUCUGAUAAUAUUGAUAAGAUAUCUUGCGUAGACUGUUUGAGGUUAUAUGGGAGGUUAAUUCGUAAGUUAAAUUUACACGUUUCACGUAAAGAAAAAAUUAAAAGUUAUCUGGCUGACAGUAAACAGCAAUUUUAGUUUUUGAUUGAACAUUGAUUAUUUUAUUAAAACUUGAGACACUGUUUCAAAGCUUGGUUCGAUGUGUAGUAAGGAAUAAUUUUGUUUGAUUCCUGAGGACAGAAGGAUCAAUUAGAAAAUUUGCUGUCCAAAAUAACCCUAAUCAUGAAUAGGCUUAGAACUAUAAUAGUGUUUCUGCUGUGUUUAUAUUUUAAUGGACUUAAUCCAGAAGAAAGUGUUGACAACGGAAGUUUGGUCACACCAUCUUUCUCCCUUGACAGUCAAAUAAAAGGAUUUAAUAGUACAAAUCUAACAUCUGGAAUAAUAGUUUUAGUGGAUGAAAGAACUCUGUUUAUUGCAGAUAUUUAUCAGAAAAAUGUUCGAAGUAUUAAUCUAGAAUUUUGGGCAGGUGCAGGUGAUAGUCCAGAGAACGAUAGCAGCAAAAAACUCGUAGCAAAUAAAACGGAUUUGGCUGUGUCGUCUAAUAUUUAUAUCACUCUACCGACAGAUCUGAGCUUAGAUGUCAUCAAUUAUUUAGAAGUAUCUUUGAACAAUCAGUCAUUGGCAUAUGUAAAUUUGAGUGAAAUUAAUAGGACCGCAAUACCAACUUAUAAUCAGCAUAACCAGAAAGAUACAAUUUACAGAUUACCAAAAUGUUGCCCACCGGACCAAUAUAUCAAUUUUUCAACGGAAGGUUGCGUUCAGGCCGUAAGAGAAGUGCAGCUCAAUAUAACCCUCUUUGAGAGCAACCAUACCGGUCUAGAUCCAAACGUUACAGUUAAUCCUUCUGAAUAUCAAUUGGCGCCUUAUUACCAAAUGCCCAAUUGUUCACGAUUAGGAGAAUUUUACAGACUAGUAGAAACCAUAGAUAUACAAGGAAUCAUUUAUAACUCUUCACUAAUUAUUGAACACUUUGGCAUACUAUCUCAUCAGAAUUUUUGCAUUGAUGUUGUUAUAGACGACUAUCCCAGAGACCUGAUCUGUCAUUGUCACUAUAUACCUUUGGUUAAUCCUGAUCCAAAUUUUUAUUUACCAGUGUUGAGUUUGUCGGUGGUUGGUUUUGCAUUAUCAGCUAUAGCUUAUGGAUUAGUUUUAAAGGCUAAAGAUUUACACAAAAUUUCUUUGGCUAUUUUCUGCUCUUCCAUGUGUAUUGCUUUUAUAUCCUUGAUAAUAAUGCAAAUUCAAAGCAAUCAUGUAGCCUGUAAUAUAUUUGGAUCUGUGUUUUUAUUAACGUUAGUAAUGUCCUUUCUGUGGCUGCUAAUUUUGUGCCUAGAACUACUAUACUUGGUGAAAUAUCCUAUUGAAGAAGAACGCCAGGAGACUAGAUGGCAAUGGUACACAGGAUUGUCUGUGGGAAUUUCAAUUUUUCUGUUUAUAAUUUCGCUAGUUUCUGGAAGUUUAGGAGUCCCAGAUGUACCAAGCAAUAUAAUUAAAUACUAUGGAAUAUAUCCAGAUGUUUGUAUGUUUGAUACCUCAGCCGACAGAGCAUAUAUUGUAUUCACACCAAUAAUUAUUUCAAUAGUUGGGUCAAUAAUAAGCCUUAUUGUGUUGCAGAUAUUCUUUAAUAAAAAUGAAAAUAACGGACACAUAAGAAAUCACGUAGACUGGAUGUUUAACUUUAAUAGUUACAAAUUUCUGUAUGUGGAAUCCAAUAUUGUACUCCUCGGUGAAAAUAUUCUCAAAUACUUUUUCGUCGACGACAUUUUUUCUUUACGAAAGAUGAUCCAUCUUUGAAGUAAAUUGGAUAAGUUUUUGAACUCCUGCGGCAAAUAUACACGAUUUGAAUCUUUUCGAGAAUAGUGGAAUGGAAUGGCUGGAAGGGAUUUAACAAGGUAUUUCUGACGUUGUGGCUAAAUUAACUAAUAUUUUAAUUAUAUUCUUAAAACCAUAACAUUUUUAUUCCAGUGCCAUUCAUUUUUAUCUGAAAUGGAACCGUUUAUUAAAAAUUUUAAAAAAAAUUAUUUAAAGCAGGUUUUAUCCAACAUUUUGCAUAGUCGUAAUUGUAAUCAGUAUUACAGUACCACUUUGAUAUGUAAAUCGGUUAUGCUUAUGACAUGUUUAACUUUUAUGAUUAAAACUGUGAUUAUGACUAAGACUAAAUAUUUUUUGUAUGAAUCCGGACUUCUAAAACGAUUUUCCACUUAGAAUAACAAAAUAAUAAGGCACAUUUGGCUUUCUUUUUUUUUAAAUUAGGUAUUGGAAUUUUUAAUCUAAUGACAAGUCUUUAUAUUUUAAAGGGACCCGAUAAUAACCGGAAAAGUGUAUGAAAUUUUUGUAAAUUUUAAAUGGUAUAUUGCACUGUUUCUCGCACAAUGCCUAAAUGUGGGUUCCAGGGUUAUGAUUAUUAGCCUUUAUUAGGGCACGCAAAGAAAACGCAGCUUUAUAUCGUUAAACCCAGCUUUAGUAUUGAAAGAUAAAUCAAUGUCAUAAUUGACAACUAAUUUAAUCUAUAACCUCAAUUCAAAAAAAAAAUAAAUACAAAGACAGUAAUGCUCUAAUACUUAAGUUAUAAUUAUGAAAUUUAAAAUCAUGAGAAAGAAAAUAAAGUAAAAUUUAGCACUUAAUACUUAUUCAAUUGUACAUCUGAUAAUACCUCGCAUAUACGUAUAUACUCAGUUCCCAAUUUCAAAUCAAAUCAGUGAUGGUGGUUAUAUAAACAAUUUUACUAAAUUGAAUUUAAAAUCUGUGAUCAUUUCUACAUAUUAAUUAAAAAAAAAAAAUAAUCUAUAAAUUGCGACGAACCGAUAAAUCAAUACCUGGAGAAACCAAGCCAAAAAGAAAAAGGGACUACCUGAAAUUCUGAGUAUCUCCGACUGGUAGCAGGGCCCACCUGAUCUGAAUGGGGCUCCUUUGUUGGCAACUAUACGUUUGGGUCAAAAGAGGCAGCAGCAGAUCGACCAGUUAGGAUGCUUCCAGAAUGUCUAGCAGGUAGUGGAGGGCAAUCGGUAUUAGGUGUAGCCGAUUGGAAGGAAUGCAGGUUCCGGAGGUGAUGAUCCAAGCGACUUGAUGUGGUAACACGUGGAGUAGCAAGUGAGGUGGAAGCAGUAACAAUAAAAAUGCAGCAAAAGCAGAAGCAGAGGAUAAGCAGAAAGGUACAGGAAGGCCUAAAAAUGGGGACCACACAUGAGGUUCGACAUGGCUGUCAAUUUUAUGGCAUUUUUGUGUGGAUCGGGUAUGUUAGGAGGGACCAUCUUAACGGUAUCAUAUCUGUGUAGUAUGUAUAUUUAUGUAUGAUUUUUAAAUAAAUUAUUUUAUGAAACUAUGGUUGCGAUUUACUUUAUCUUGGUAAAAAAAUUAAUAAAUCAAUUAAUAUAUCUGUUGGAGAUUAAACCUGUAACACACCCCUCCUUCCUGAAAAGGAAGUUUACCUGAAACUUGCAAUGGAAAUUCAAUCCCUAAUAAAGAAAAACUAAUCUAACUAAAUAACUAAUAAAAGAAAUCCUAACUUGAAAAUACUUAAUAUAAUACAACAUUAUAAGAGCCCUCAAAAUAACUACAAAGAAACGAAUCUAUUAUAAUAAUUAAUUUACGCUGACUUAUAACUUAGAUACUAACAUUAGAUUUGAUCUUGAACGUUAUUAUCAGGUGGAUGUGCCUUUAAAUCUUUAGCAUGCCAAACUCCACGACAACGGCCUGUCAAGUCCGAAAUUUCGUAGGACCAUGGAGAGAGAAUUUUGCUGAUCUUGUAGGGCCCAAGAUAUUUAGGCGCGAACUUUGAAGUAAAGUUUUUGGCAGCAUUAGAGAUAACAUAAUUUCUCUGCCAUACCUCCUGACCAAGUUGAAAGCGCUCAUCGCGAUGCCGUAAGUUAUAACGCCUACUACGUUGCUCGCAAGCCCUUUUUAGUCUUUUCUGAACAUCGACAAAUACCUUUUCCAAUGUUUUCGAUCGCAAAGUUGGAUCGGAAUCAUUAGGGUUAGAUGGAGAAAUUAAAGUCGGGGUGGGACACAGAAAUCGAAGUUCUCUACCAAAAAUUACAAAGUUUGGGGUUAGACCCGUAACUUCGUGUCUUGCUGAUCGGAUUGCACAACCUGCCUUAGCCAAAAUUAGAUCCCACGUCCUAUGAUCCUCAUCAACAUAGCUUGAGAUGAUGGUUUUUAGAACACGGUGGACACGCUCUACAGGGUUAGCCUGCGGGUGGUAAUUAGCAGUAUAACGUAUUUGGAUACCAUACUCUUGCAUUUUAUUUUGGAAAGCCCCACUACGAAACUGAGGUCCAUUGUCGGCAAUGAUUCUAUCAGGGAUUCCGUAAACCAAAAGUACAUGGUCCUCGAGCCAUUUUAAUAUACUGCUGGCGGUAGCCACUCGUAAAGGAAAGAAGAGAGGAUACUUACUGAACAAAUCAUAUACUGACAAUACGAAGGAAUAUCCAGAACGAGAACGAGGCAAGGGACCCACAAGGUCUACACUGAGGAUUUGCCAAGGUCUAGUCAGGGUUGGUUGUGGACUAAGAAGGUGGCCAGAAGAGACUUUUUGAAGAGGUUUAGUCCUUAAGCAAGUGUGACAUCGGGCAAUAUACCUAGCUACGUCACACUUCAUAUUUGGCCAGUAAUAUUUCUGUGAAAUACGGGAAAGAGUCUUAAACACUCCAAGAUGACCACAGGUGGGAGGAUCGUGAUGUGCCUUUAUGACAUCAGAUCGUUGAUUUCGUGGUACAAUCUGCAACCAAGCAUCGUCAGGAUUAUCUAAAGCGGGGUAUUUUGACUUAGUACGCUUAUAGAGCUUAUUAUUAGAAAUCCACCAUAGUGGGUACUUAGAUGGUUGCUCUUUAACGCGUUUUAGCAUGCGGGAAUACCACUUGUCGAUCAGGAAAGAAGAAUCGUUCGUUGACAUGUCAUUCAGAGGUGCUACCUCAUCUACCACUGGUACCGAACGAGAUAAUGCAUCGGGGACGAUGUUGUCUUUACCCUUACGAUGAACUAUGUCAAAAUCGUACUGUUGUAGCCUUACAGCCCAUCGAGCAAUGCGACCAACAGGAUCUUUGAUUGAAUUAAGCCACUUCAGACUAUAGUGGUCAGUUACCACUGUAAAAUGGCUACCUUCCACAUAUGGUCUGAGUUUUUCGAUGGCGAAAAUGACAGCCAAACAUUCCCUUUCUGUUGUGCUAUACCGACGCUCGUUUUUGGUAAGAGACCUACUUAGGAAACAAAUAGCGUGCUCUUCGUCACCUUGAACCUGAUAAAGGACAGCUCCAAGUCCAAAAUUGGAAGCGUCACAUUGGAUAAUAAAAGGAAGAUCAAAAUCUGGACAUGAUAAAACCGGUGCGCUGACCAGUUUCUCUUUAAUAGUAUUAAAAGCAUUUUCACAUUCAGGACUCCAUACAAACUUUACGUUCUUCAUGGUCAAUGCGGUCAAGGGAGAUACUAUCGUGGAAAAAUUAGGGACAAACCUCCGAUACCAAGAUGCGAGUCCAACAAUUCUUCUAAUAUCAGUAACAGUCUUGGGGGUUGGUAUACGCAGAAUAGCCUCAAUCUUAUCGGGGUCCACUAGUAGACCGGAAGAAUUAACAAUGUACCCCAAAUAUUUUAACUCGGGUUUACAAAAGGUACACUUCUCUCUGUUAAGAGUUAGACCUGCCUUAACGAUCCUCUGUAUGACCUCACGUAAAACACGAAUAUGUUCCUCGAACGACGGGGUGGAAAUGAUUACGUCGUCAAGAUAGACGAAGACGUAUGGCUCCAAGUCAACACCAAUAACAGAAUCGAUCAGUCUUUGCCACACUGCAGGGGCAUUAGUCAACCCAAAGGGCAUACGGGUAAAUUGGAAAAGUCCUCUAGUAGGGACUGUAAAUGCAGUAAGAGGGCGAGAUUCUGGUGCAAUAGGUAUUUGCCAAUACGCGGACUUAAUAUCCAACGUACUAAGGAACUUGGCAUCUCUUAAUUUAUCUAAAGUGGCAGAAACAAAAGGUAUGGGAUAACUGUCUUUGAUGGUCACACGAUUUAAAGCGCGAUAAUCGACACAAAAACGCCAUUCGCCAGUUUUUUUCUUAACCAUUACUAUUGGAGAUGACCAGGGUGAAAUAGAUGGUUCUACAAUACCAUUGGCAAUCAUUUGUUCCAAUUCAGUAUUGACAUCCUUUUGAAGGGCACGGGAAAGAGGAUAAUAGCGCUGUUUGAUAGGUGCUGAAUUUGUCCUGAUUUCUAGCUUGACCAAAUUAGUACAACCCAAUGUUGAACUCAUGUUGGAAAAGACAUCCUCGAUAAGUCGAUCGAGAGUUUCUUUUUGUGUUGGAGUCAGAGUAUCAACGGAUUGAAUUGCGGCAGUUUCGUGACAGUAGUAUGGAGCAACAUCUUUGAAAUGCCAUUCCCCAGUGUUAAGGUCAGGUAUGAUCCCCAUACGAGUCCAAAAAUCAAUACCUAAGAUCAAGGAAUGGGGUAGGGAGGGAACAACCAAAACAUCCAUAAGGACUACGCGAGUGCGAAGCCUCAUAGGUAAGGUCACAAUUCCUUUUAUUGAACAUUGUUGUCCAUUGGCUACAGUGCACUCAGUGGCCCCAGAUUGUUUAAGGGUGCAAUAAGUAGACAAAACAGACCAUCCGGCAGAACCAAUAAUAGUUCGAGAUGCUCCACUAUCAAGUAAACCUAAUAGUGAUUUUCCAAAAAUGUCUAUGUGCAGAUAAGGACGCUCAUCACCUUUGGCAUGUGCCAAGACGAAAUCAAGGACGGCAGAAGUACGAACAUGUUUGGAUAGACUAAUGGCCGAUUGCGAUUCAAAAGAUAGGCAAGAGGGACGGCCUAUGCUCUUGCCGAUGCCUCGUUUUUUUGAGCAUGUUGGACAAGUCUUUGCACUAACGUCUCUCUUUCCGCAUCGGAAACAAAAGAACGUUUUGGGCUUAGAACAUUUACGAAAACGAUGUCCGCUGUCACCGCAAUUCCAGCAGGUUACAACAGAAGAAACUGCAUCUAUAGAAGUUGAAUAAGCCGAAUGAUUAUUAGGAAUAAUGGGCUUAACAUCACUAGGCUCUGAAUAAGACUCAAUUGACGCUACGUGAUGACUGGGUUUUCUGUAGGCAAGUUCAGGUUCUAAUAGCUGUCUAAUGUUUGUGGGGGGUGGGACAAAUCUCUGCACUCUGGCUUCGGUCUCUUCAAUUGCUCGACUUAACCUAGUCAACUCGUGAAGAUCAUGGAUUUCAUGGGUAGCAAGCCUACUUUGAAUAUAAGGAAGUAAAUUUCGACGAAUAAGAUUAAGUUUGACUGAUUCGGAGGGACUUUCUGAAAGUUUUCGAAAUAGACUCUCCAUUGCGACAAUAAACGUAAGGACGCGUUCUUGUGAUCCUUGGGUGCGCCUACGUAUUUCAUCCCACAAACCAUAUUCAUAGUCAUAAGGCCGAAAGGAAUCUUUCAAUUUAGUUACUAAAUCAUCCCAACUGGCAAAUUUAUUGGUACGAUACCAAAGAAGGGCAUCGCCAGUAAACAACUCUGGUGCAGACCGGAGUAACUGCUCCUUAAGUACACCUCGAGAUAAACGUAUUUCCUCAACUCUCUCUAGAAAGUCGUUAACACUAGUCUGUCCAUUAAACUUAAUAUUCCAUCGAAACACAUCAUGUGUAUGGUAUGAGGGAUGCGAUAGUUGUCUCGGCUCACGCCCGUAAGUUCGAUUCGAUGUGUCCGUCGGAGAAAAAUUGACUUCUUCCAAAUGACGAACUAAGUCGUUGAUUGGUAUGGACUGGGACAAGUUGUCUCCAUGAGCAGUGGAGUUUGCUGGAGGAGAUGCAUGAACCACGGGGGGUCCAAAACGAACCUGUGAUUGACGACUCAUUGAUUGAGACUCAUUUGCUGAACUCACUGGAUAACAGUUAAUUUGACUUACAGGAGGUUGUAAUAUAGGAUUCGAAGAUAUUGAGGACUUUGCAUUAAGUUCAUUUCCGGAAGACUGAAAGACUCUGGAUCCGUCGCGCUGCAUGAAACGACCAUAGGAAGGUCUUGACUCAGAUGUACUUGACGUUCUCUGCUGAGGAUUAAAAUAAGGACAACUGCUUUGAGCAAGCUCCAAUAAAUCCUGGAGUGGAGGUCUAGACUGUUGUGUCAAAGACGGAUUGGAAGUAGUCCCAUAGGGUACUGCAUCGCUAUGAGAUUCAAUCUGAGGCAACUCCCUAUUAAUAGCUGAAUGUGCAAAGGACGUAGAAGUACCAGACUGGAAAUUAUUCAAAUUGUUCGACUGCUCUGCAACCUCGCAUUGUGAAGUCGAUGCGGCAGCAACAUUGGAAUUAACACGUUCCGCUUCAAGUUCUUCAACAGGUGUAGAUUCCUCAUCACUCAAAACAAUUAAGUCAUUUGAAACUACUAAGUUGUCUCCUGUAUUUAAGGAUUCAUGGGAUUCGUGAGAUGGAGUGGCCCCUGUUAGGGUAAUGGCUGGUGGUUUGUUGGCAUAAGAGCAAGAAGGCAUGAUACCUUGAGAAGCAAGAUUAAGAUCACCAAAAAGUUUAGUGCAUGAACUUACAAUCUCAUUUUUUAAAACCGACUCUACUUCUGACACAGCAUGGACUCGAUUGAUACGCUGGUACAAAUGCAACAAGAGGGUAUUAAUCCGUUUGGAUUCUCCAUCACAAUAAUCCUUUCCGAGAGUCUUAAUAUCCCGUUCAAUAGAUAUUAAUUUACUGCGACAAAGGCAAAGCUCACUAUCUGUGUCGAAGGCAGUGGAACUAGGAGGAUCAAUGUGUUUCUCCCGUUCCAACCGCAAGGACUCACGAAGACUGGUCCGUUUUUGAGCGAAAGAACCGGUUAAUGGGAGACCUCGAAUGUGUAACUCAUAUUUUAGUUCCUCACCACCUAGAUAAUUAACAUCCAUUUCAAAUGUCAAAAUAGAGGGACAAAAAAAUAUAUAUAUUUAUAGAUAUAUUAUAUAUAGUUUAAUAACGUUAAUUAAAUAAAUAAGCUAAAAAAAAAAUUAAAAGGAAAAUAUGAUAAGUAUCCAAAGGACACCCCCACCCUUUCCUAAGAAAAAAAAAUUAAAAAAAAAAGGAAUCAAAGUCCAACAGCAAAUACACUACGUAUAAGAGCAGUUAAGACUAUAGUUAUAUUUAUCAUUCAGACCUACUAAUAAGAAGUAAGAAUAGUCAGGUACUUCAAAAAAAAUAAAUAAAUAAAUUUAAAAAAAAAACAAAAGAAAUCUUAAAAAUCAAUCAAAGGUAAUACCAGUAAAUAAGCUUAUUAUACACACCUACUAGAGUACUGCGCAUGAACAGAUUUAAAAAAAAAUCAAAGAAAAAAAAUAUUAAAAAAAAAAAAAAACAAAAUAUUCAAAAACUUGACAAUACCUCUAUUCAAGAAUUUAAAAAAAAAAUGCUUUUCCCCUUCUUCCCUUUUCUUUCUUUUUCCUUUCCCUUUCUUUUUUCACCUUCACACCACCCUGUAAUCCUAUAACACUUGAAUCAUUUAUCCUUCCCUACAACACCUGAAGAUAUUUCCUUGGUUUUUGGUAAUUGGUCACCAACCUAAAUAAAAUGUAUUGAUAAUUCUCUUUUUUUUUUUUUAAAUGAGAAGAAACACUGAACUGAUGAAAACGUCAAAAAAAAAUAAGAAUGGUAAAGUCAACCUUCUAAAACAACUAAUCAAAAUUAACUGCUAAUGUUUAAUAUAAUCAAAAGUUAUUAGAAAAAAAAAAAAAUUGGUAAAGCAUGAACUGACACGUUAGGCGCCAAAUUUAUUGCACUGUUUCUCGCACAAUGCCUAAAUGUGGGUUCCAGGGUUAUGAUUAUUAGCCUUUAUUAGGGCACGCAAAGAAAACGCAGCUUUAUAUCGUUAAACCCAGCUUUAGUAUUGAAAGAUAAAUCAAUGUCAUAAUUGACAACUAAUUUAAUCUAUAACCUCAAUUCAAAAAAAAAAUAAAUACAAAGACAGUAAUGCUCUAAUACUUAAGUUAUAAUUAUGAAAUUUAAAAUCAUGAGAAAGAAAAUAAAGUAAAAUUUAGCACUUAAUACUUAUUCAAUUGUACAUCUGAUAAUACCUCGCAUAUACGUAUAUACUCAGUUCCCAAUUUCAAAUCAAAUCAGUGAUGGUGGUUAUAUAAACAAUUUUACUAAAUUGAAUUUAAAAUCUGUGAUCAUUUCUACAUAUUAAUUAAAAAAAAAAAAUAAUCUAUAAAUUGCGACGAACCGAUAAAUCAAUACCUGGAGAAACCAAGCCAAAAAGAAAAAGGGACUACCUGAAAUUCUGAGUAUCUCCGACUGGUAGCAGGGCCCACCUGAUCUGAAUGGGGCUCCUUUGUUGGCAACUAUACGUUUGGGUCAAAAGAGGCAGCAGCAGAUCGACCAGUUAGGAUGCUUCCAGAAUGUCUAGCAGGUAGUGGAGGGCAAUCGGUAUUAGGUGUAGCCGAUUGGAAGGAAUGCAGGUUCCGGAGGUGAUGAUCCAAGCGACUUGAUGUGGUAACACGUGGAGUAGCAAGUGAGGUGGAAGCAGUAACAAUAAAAAUGCAGCAAAAGCAGAAGCAGAGGAUAAGCAGAAAGGUACAGGAAGGCCUAAAAAUGGGGACCACACAUGAGGUUCGACAUGGCUGUCAAUUUUAUGGCAUUUUUGUGUGGGUAAGUAAGUUAAAUUUUAUAAAAUUGCUCUCUGAAAAGUUGGAUGCAUUGAUGUUCUUUUGAGUUAAACCGAAAAGCAUGCAAAUAAGAAAUUAAUUAGAUGAAAAAAAUAGGAAAAUGACUUAGGCAUGUAACAUGUGCUAACUUACCGAAGAUGGAAUGUGGCCUUUUCUGGGGUUUAUUUAACACAACAAAAACAAGGAGCCCUAUAAACUCUUAGGCCUACUUAGAAAAUCAGCAAUUAAGCUAUCCUAGCACAUACUAGUAACUACAAAAAAAAUUAGGCUAAGAUAGGGUCUACCUUUUCACAUCCGCAUUAAGCGAAACUAUCUGUCAUACUCUAGAACCAGAUAAAGAAUGAAUCUAUUAAAAAUAGGAUUGUCAGUUCCCUCCAAAUUUUAAGGAAUGCAUUUAUCUGUCAAGUACCUAGGUGUUGACAUGCUGGGUUUAACUACUGGGUACUAUCUGGUACCAACACUACCAACAUUGGUUUAAGUAAUUUGCAACUAUGGAGCAAUCUAUAACUUGAGGCCAUGGUUUAGCAACAAUAAUUUACAAAAAAAAACUGACAGACCAGAUUGACAUUAACAUUCUUAUCACUAUUGAUCCUUAUGAUUUGAACAAAAUAAACAAUUAGUUAAUAAGUGCUCAGUAUUCAUUAAAAUCUAAAAUAGGCCAAAUUGACCUGCAAGGUAAAAUCAAUGCAAAAUCAAUGGCAGUUCUUAAUUCUAUUCAAUCAACAAAACAAUGAAACAAUAUCCCAUAUUAUUAUUUACUUUCCUCAUCCAAUAAUGGUUUUCCUUGCGUUUCAGAUCGGGUAUGUUAGGAGGGACCAUCUUAACGGUAUCAUAUCUGUGUAGUAUGUAUAUUUAUGUAUGAUUUUUAAAUAAAUUAUUUUAUGAAACUA